rnacentral:tRNA from 1 species
GGCCUCGUAGUUCAACUGGAUAGAAUAUCAGAUUUCGGCUCUGAGGGUUGAGGGUUCAAAUCCUUCCGAGGUCA